GGUUCCGUGGCCGAGUGGCUAGGCACUGGUCUGCAAAACCAGCUACAGCGGUUCGAGUCCGCUCGGAACCUCAA
rnacentral:tRNA from 2 species